rnacentral:rRNA from 1 species
CCUACGGGGGGCUGCAGUGAGGAAUAUUGGUCAAUGGACGAGAGUCUGAACCAGCCAAGUAGCGUGAAGGAUGACUGCCCUAUGGGUUGUAAACUUCUUUUAUAUGGGAAUAAAACGUUCCACGUGUGGGAUUUUGUAUGUACCAUAUGAAUAAGGAUCGGCUAACUCCGUGCCAGCAGCCGCGGUAAUACGGAGGAUCCGAGCGUUAUCCGAAUUUAUUGGGUUUAAAGGGAGCGUAGGUGGAUUGUUAAGUCAGUUGUGAAAGUUUGCGGCUCAACCGUAAAAUUGCAGUUGAAACUGGCAGUCUUGAGUACAGUAGAGGUGGGCGGAAUUCGUGGUGUAGCGGUGAAAUGCUUAGAUAUCACGAAGAACUCCGAUUGCGAAGGCAGUUCACUGGACUGCAACUGACACUGAGGCUCGAAAGUGUGGGUAUCAAACAGGAUUAGAUACCCCAGUAGUC